GCAGAUCCUGGACGAGCCCCCAAC
rnacentral:misc_RNA from 1 species